GCACAGGGACAGUGAGAGACAGGCCAUUGAAGUCUUCAUCAGGAGUUCCUUCAACGAUGUGGACCAUCUAUUUCAAAAGGAGUUAGGGGCCCAGCUAGAAAAAAAGCGGGAUGACUUUUGUAAACAGAAUCAGGAAGCAUCAUCAGAUCGUUGCUCAGGUUUACUUCAGGUCAUUUUCAGUCCCCUAGAAGAAGAAGUGAAGGCGGGAAUUUAUUCGAAACCAGGGGGCUAUCGUCUCUUUGUUCAGAAACUACAAGACCUGAAGAAAAAGUACUAUGAGGAACCAAGGAAGGGGAUACAGGUAACCAAGAUUUAUCUGUCAAUUAUGGAAAGCUGCUGACCUGCCUCCUACAAACACCAAGGUGACCAAGCCUCGUUGCACAGAUGUGCUUUUUUGUUUGCAUAACAUUCAUGCUUUUAUUCAAUAACAUAUGCAAACAGGCUGUUAUACCAGAUAUGUCCUAGGUGCUCAUCAAAGAGAGUGCAGUCAAUUAACUAUUAAGUUAUAAAUUCAAUUAGCAGAUGAAGCACAAAGUUAUUAUUGUCAUCAUUACAGCUGGGCUUUUCCUGUUGCAAGAGACAGGAACCUAAUGAUGGCUGCUUAAACAAAAAUGUAAUUCAUUGAUUUAGGCUGCAAACUGGCUUUACAGGACAGGUGGGUCUAAGGUUUCAAGUAACAUCAUGAACUGUCUCUCUGCCCAGUGUUCCCCCAUCCCCACAGUUUUCUCCCUCCCACCCUCCCUCUA
rnacentral:sRNA from 1 species